rnacentral:rRNA from 1 species
AUUGAACGCUAGCGGGAUGCCUUACACAUGCAAGUCGAACGGAGUGGCGAACGGGUGAGUAAUGUCUCGGAACGUGCCCAGUAGCGGGGGAUAACUACGCGACAGCGUAGCUAAUACCACAUACUAUUUGAGCGGCCGCUAUCGGAUUAGCUGGUUGGUGGGGUAACGGCUCACCAAGGCGACGAUCCGUAGCUGGUUUGAGAGGACGACCAGCCACACUGGGACUGAGACACGGGCCAGACUCCUACGGGAGGCAGCAGUGGGGAAGUUUGGACAAUGGGGGAAACCCUGAUCCAGCCAGCCCGCGUGUGCGAUGAAGGCUUUCGGGUUGUAAAGCACUGUUGGCAGGAAAGCGGUACCUGCUGAAUAAGCACCGGCUAACUACGUGCCAGCCGCCGCGGUAAUUC